AAAGACCCUAUGAAGCUUGACUGUAGCUUGGAAUUGGGUUCGGGCUCUUCUUGCGCAGCCUAGGUGGGAGGCGUUGAAAGUUUUCUUUCGGGAAAACUGGAGCCAACAGUGAGAGACCACUCUGGAGGAGCUAGAAUUCUAAUGGCGUUCCUUGAAGCAGGACGCUUGACAGUUUCAGGUGGGCAGUUUGACUGGGGCGGUCACCUCCUAAAAGGUAACGGAGGUGUGCAAAGGUUCCCUCAGGCUGGACGGAAAUCAGCCGUAGAGUGUAAAGGCAGAAGGGAGCUUGACUGCAAGACCUACAAGUCGAGCAGGGGCGAAAGCCGGCCUUAGUGAUCCGACGGUUCCAUGUGGAAGGGCCGUCGCUCAACGGAUAAAAGUUACUCUAGGGAUAACAGGCUGA
rnacentral:rRNA from 1 species